UAGCUCGCGCCACAAAAUCCACCGUGCUCCCUAAAAAAAAGUAAAAAAAAGAAGCAAAGGCUUCGAUCCCCUUCUCCCCUCUGUUUCUCGGUGCCGCCGGCACGGCGUAGAGAGAAUCACCGCUGCCUUCCAGUAAUCCAGCCUGCGCCCCUCACGGCCUGCGAUCCCCACUCGAGAUCGCUGCAUCCGGCUCAGAAAAGAGAUCGAGCUUUCAUCUCGCAAGCGGCGCUAGAGUGAGGCGGCCAUGGACCUCGUCGUGGGCGCCUCGAACGACGCCGUGAAGUCCCUGGUGAGCAAGCUCGGCAGCCUCCUCGCGCAGGAGUACACCCUGAUCGGCGGCGUCUCCGACGACAUCCAGUACAUCAACGACGAGCUGGCCAGCAUGCAGGCCUUCCUCAACAGGCUCAAGCAGGAGGCCAAACACGACGAGCAGCGGCAGGGCUGGAUGAAGCAGGUCCGGGAGGUCGCCUACGACAUUGAGGAUUGCGUCGACAACGCCGGCCACCGCCUCAGCCGCGAGCCCCGUGGGAGCGGCAAGCUGGCCUCCAUCAGGCGGGCGUGGUAUCUCCUCACCACGCUGUACGCACGCCACUGCAUCGCCACCGAGAUCGGCAACCUCAAGGUCCGGGCGCAGCACGUCAGCGAGCGGCGCACCCGGUACUCGGUGGAGAACCUGGCGGCGAGACUGGACAGCGGCUCAGACGGUGCAAACGGCCCCGUUGACCGCUCAGCGCCGCCUCCUCAGCUCAUAGGCACCGUGGCGCCUGUGGGCAUCGAGGACGCGGUGGAGAAGCUCAGGCAAUGGUUCAAGGAGGUGAAGCAGCAGAGGACCAUGGGGUUCCUUGCCAUUGUCGGGUCUGGUGGCCUUGGCAAGACCACUCUUGCCAUGGCCUUGUACCGUGCAUUUGGAGACGAGUUUGAUUGCAGGGCAUCCGUUUUGGCGACGCAGAAGUUCCAUCUCCCGGCGGUUCUGAGAAGCCUUAUCAAGCAGUUUCACGACCAGCAGGCUGGGGCUUCCAAGAAUGACAUAGAAGGAAUUGAGGAAUGGGGACUAGAAGCUCUCAAACAACAGCUCGCCCAUCAGCUACAAAACAAGAGGUAUCACAUCUUGAUAGAUGACAUAUGGUCUGUAUCAGCAUGGGAAAGUAUUAGGGAUUCUUUUGCAAAAAGCAAGAAUGGCAGUAUCAUAGUGGUGACAACUAGGUUCAAAUCUGUAGCUGAAGCUUGCCGCCGACAACAAGGCCGCGUCCAUGAGCUCAAGUCACUCAGUGAUGAUAAUUCCUACAAACUGUUCUGUCAAAUCAUCUCGAGUGCUCCUAAUGUUCCGACUGAUGGUGCAAGACCUCUUCUGAAGAAAUGUGAAGGUUUGCCGUUGGCCAUAAUUUUAAUAGCAGGGCUCGUGGCUAGUACAUUGAGAUCAGAGUCAAACAGUACCAGUGUAGAAGAUCUCCAUUUGGCUCAAAAGGACAAGGAUGAAGAGUUGGAUAAGAAUAAGGAUCAAGCGGGCAAUGAUAUCAGUGAGGGGUUGGACAAGGAUGUAGUAGGUGAAAAGUUGGAGAAGAAUAAGUCCCAAGCAGGAAAUGAUAUCACUGUGCGGUUGGAGAAAUUUUUGGAUCAAGUGGGCAAGGAUUUGGGUGAAGAUUUGGAGAAAAAUCUCUCGACGGAAAGAGUCACACAGAUAGUGAACCACUGCUAUUACCAAUUGCCUGCUGAUUUGAAGACCUGCCUCUUGUACCUGAGCAUGUUUCCCAAGGGUUGUUUCAUCAGCAGAAAGCGUCUGAUCAGAAGAUGGAUUGCCGAAGGGUUCGUCUCUGAAAAGCAUGGGAAGACAGUUGAGGAGGUCGCUGAGGACUGCUUCAAUGAACUCAUCAGCAGGAACCUAAUCCGGGCAGUCAAUAGCAGUAGCAACGGCAAGGUCAAGAGCUGCCAGGUCCACGACUUGGUCCUCGAGGUCAUCGUCGUCAGGUCAAGCGAAGAGAAUUUCAUCACAGUGGUUGGUGGCCACUGGCAUACACCAUUUCCAUCUUACAAGGUGCGUCGACUGUCUGUCCAAAAGAGUGAUCGGCAAGAGAAGGAAAUAGUGGAGAGGAUGAAGCUAUCACACGUUAGGUCGCUGACGGCAUUGAGGAGUUUCAAAGUUCUUCAUUCUACUCUGUCCAAGUUUCAGAUACUGCAGGUGCUGGAUCUUGAAAGAUGCAAGGAUUUAUCCUUGAUGAAUCAGAUUGAGAAAAUAUGUGAUAUGCAUCAGCUGAAGUACCUAAGCCUGCGAGGGACAGACAUUGAAAGGCUCCCAAAGGAGAUAGGUAAGCUGGAAUAUCUUCAGGUACUUGACAUAAGGGAUACAAACAUCAUGCAGUUGCCUCCAUCAGUCGAGAAGCUACAGCAUAUGGUGCAUCUACUUGCUGGCAGCAAGAGCAAGAGGAUUGGGUUGACAUUGAAUGAAGGGAUCACAAAGAUGAUGGCUCUGCAAACACUAUCUGGGGUUGAGAUCUGUGGAAGCUCUGCUAAUGCUGCCAGGGGUAAAUCCACUAAUGAAGAAGUUAAGAAACAUAUCAGAUGCAAGGCGGCCAGUACUGUCUUGGUUAAGGGACUGCGUGCCUUGGAGAACCUCACGAACCUGAAGAAGCUAACUGUUUACAGACUUCGAGCCUUUACUGACAGGGAUAACAUUCUACUAUUGUCUGCCAUUGAGCACCUGAGCAGCUGCUCCCUCAAGUUUCUUGCUAUUAACGAUGAUUUCACCGGAUUUCUUGACAGCUCACUCAAUGCUUCGCAAGCGCCACCAGAGCACCUGCACACCCUCGGGCUCACCGGCAUGUUGUCCCGAGUGCCGGACUGGAUCAGUAGCCUGCACAACCUUGAGAAGCUAACCCUGUCCUUAACUUCACUCGCAGCAAGUACCUUGAUAGUUCUUAGCGAGCUGCCAGAGCUAUUCUCUCUGAUUUUUACCCUGGAUUCUACAAAGGAAGAAACAAGUGCUCUCCAGAUUAUGCACAAGAAUGCAAUGGAGUCAGGAGGAAACAUCUUUGUGGUAGCAGGAGGAUUUGAAAAGCUUAAACUGCUGCGCUUUGUGACACCUGUGCUACCACCUCUGAGCUUUCUGGAAGGGGCAAUGUCAGAGCUUCAGAGUCUUGAGCUGAAGUUCAUAACGAUGGAGGGUGUCUACGGCCUGGACAACCUUAAGAGUCUUCGACAGGUGCUCCUGACAGUCAGCAGUCAGGCACCUGAAGAUGCAAAGGUGAAGGCGUCUCAGAUCAAGGUGUUAGCAAGCAUGAUUCCCAAUGGUCCUAGUGUGGUCGUUGACGAGUACAGCGAGUUAUAAGUGGAAGAGACACAUUUCGAAGUCAGGCAGGCGGCGUUUCCCUGCUAGCGCACCACCCACUCCCAUCCAGCCGACCAUGGCGAACAGGCCCCAGCGCGUGCUAGCUAAGGCCUUUCUGCGUGCCAGGAAGCCAUUGUCGCACCACUGCAUGUGGCGCGAUAGCGCUGCCACGCUGGUGUGGCCGGGCGGGCCGCGCCAGCCUGGCGCUGACUGGAUGUGGGUCUGUCGCUCCACAUGCACUGCCACGAUAGCACUGUCGUGCUAGACCGCAUGGCGCGACAAGCUCUACGUCCAGGUCAGUGCGCCCCCUUCUCCUUCCCUCUCCCUCCUUUCUUCCCAAUGUAGCCCCUGUUCAAGCGGGCCCAGCUCCUCACCGCCGACCGCUGCGCCCCCCGAAUCCCCCUCCCCCCAAAUCCGGCGUUUUGGGUGGGAAAAGUUGGGGGAAUCGAUCCCCGCAUCA